rnacentral:rRNA from 1 species
CCUGCCCACUGAAGUUUUUUUAAAGGCCGCGGUAUAUUAACUGUGCAAAGGUAGCAUAAUAAUUAGUUUUUUAAUUGAAGACUUGAAUGAAUGGUUGAACAAAGAAAAAUCUGUCUUUAGUAUUUUCUUUGAAUUUUACAUUUAAGUGAAAAGGCUUAAAUUAAUUUAAGGGACGAUAAGACCCUAUAAAUCUUUACAUUUAUUUAAUAUUUAUUAGUUAAGUUGUAAAUUUAUUAAUAUGUUAAAAUAUGUUAUAUUGGGGUGAUAGAGAUAUAAUAAAAAACUGUCUUAAUAAAAAACAUAAAUAAUUGAGUUUUUAAUAAAAGAUCCUUUAUAAAGAUUAAAAGUUUAAGUUACUUUAGGGAUAACAGCGUAAUUUUUUUUGAGAGUUCAUAUCGAAAAGAGAGUUUGCGACCUCGAUGUUGAAUUAAAAUUUCUUUAUGGUGCAGAAGUCAUAUAAGAGAGUCUGUUCGAC